rnacentral:rRNA from 1 species
AUUGAACGCUGGCGGCAGGCCUAACACAUGCAAGUCGAGCGGAUGAGGAGAGCUUGCUCUCUGAUUCAGCGGCGGACGGGUGAGUAAUGCCUAGGAAUCUGCCUGGUAGUGGGGGACAACGUUUCGAAAGGAACGCUAAUACCGCAUACGUCCUACGGGAGAAAGUGGGGGAUCUUCGGACCUCACGCUAUCAGAUGAGCCUAGGUACGAUUAGCUAGUUGGUGAGGUAAAGGCUCACCAAGGCGACGAUCGUUAACUGGUCUGGGAGGAUGAUCAGUCACACUGGAACUGAGACACGGUCCAGACUCCUACGGGAGGCAGCAGUGGGGAAUAUUGGACAAUGGGCGAAAGCCUGAUCCAGCCAUGCCGCGUGUGUGAAGAAGGUCUUCGGAUUGUAAAGCACUUUAAGUUGGGAGGAAGGGCAGUAAGUUAAUACCUUGCUGUUUUGACGUUACCGACAGAAUAAGCACCGGCUAACUUCGUGCCAGCAGCCGCCGUAAAAC